rnacentral:lncRNA from 1 species
CUGUCCAGCCAGUUGCUUUUUAAAAACCUCUUUUCGGGAGACCCACAAUGUUUUUUGCAUACUAACCAGAGAGAGAAGGUUUGUGUUUGGUUAAAAGAGUGUCGGGAUACAUCUCAGCAGCAUUAAAUCACAUUCCUCAAUUUCUGGAUCCCAGUGAGUAAGUGUUAGCCUGGUGUCAUGGUGGGAGUGGAUUGUGAUCUCCGUCUUCAAGUCUCCACUCCGCUGUGAAACCCACCGGUGGACCAUUUUGUUCCUUUCAAUCUUUUUCUGAGCCUGCUCUACCUUGUCAGGCUGUUGUGAGAAUAAAGUAGCUCAAAUAGGAUUGCUUCUCGCUCAGAGUCUGUUUCUCAGCUUCUUUGUAUUGCCUUUUUUAAUUUGUCCUUUCCCACAGACGGGUUCGACUUCUGGACCCUGAACGAGCUGCAGUGGACGACGGCUCAAGAUAUUGUGGGACAGCACUUGUCCCGAUUCCACGAGAGUUGCAAAAACCUGCCACAUCCCCUUCCGGAGGUUCAGAAAUGUUUUACUCUCACCUACGUUCCGGGACUUAAUUCUGAGUUGAGCCCGAAUCUCUUUGCUUUCCGACGUUAUCUAGUGGGCAUGGCAAGGAUCAGGUUGAAAGGGUUAGCACCAAAAGCCAGCUAAUCAACUUAAGAGAAGAAGGCUAUUCAGAUCAGCUGAUGGACAAGGCCAGGCCCGAGAUUACUGUGAAGGAUUGGUUUUACACCCCCUUCCUGGCGCAUUGUCAACUGCGGGUGAGGCUGCUCUCGGCCGAUUUCGAGGUUCUCCGGGAAUGCUGGCUAACGAGCAACAAUGAAGAAUGGAAUGAGGUUUCCUACACCUUUGACGAUUACCCUCCUGGCGUCUGCUACAUUGAUCUGGAACAUGAAGUGCAAUACCGGUUUGGGGGAAAAAUAACCAACACCACAAUCAUCCUUGAUCCAGAAAGGAGUGAGAGAAACAUCAUUCUCUGAUACCAGCAUCUGGGGAUGGGGCAAUUUUUCUGGGGGAUAAAAAAGUUAAUUUCCAGCACUUUAAUUCUCUGGUGUGAUUU